rnacentral:lncRNA from 1 species
UUUCUUCUCUCUUCAAAGUUAUUCUCCUCUCUUCUAAGUUCAGGCGAUUUCUAGGGUUUGUGUUUCUUCUCGAUUCAAAAAGCUUCAAGUACAUGCCUGAUGAGGCUCGAUUUUUUAAGGCGUACGAUGAGCUGCGGCGGCUAAGGUUCCGUUGGAACCCAACGACGGAGGUAUCUAUCUAUAUGAUUUUGAGUUCGACGGAAUGGGUCAGUUGAAUUUUUAGUCAACUUGCAGAUGACACUUCUUGGAGUCAGUUGGAUAUUUUAAUUUUAUUGCCAGGGAACGAGGGGUUAAUCGGGCUUCGUUUAUGGAUAAUAUGAAGUCGUAUCAACAGAGACGAGGGAGUUUCGUCCCUCUAUCACCAACACAAAUGCUUUGGUCGAGUGAAAAUGGUACAAGUAACAAAGAUGACAAAGAGAAAGGUCUCAAUGUGCAAGUUGUUCUGCGUUGCAGACCCUGAUAACAAAAUAACCUUACCGAGUUGGGGUACUGCUCCACAUCAUGGUGGCGUAAUAGGUGAUUAUGAGUAGGUCUAUCUGGAAGUUAGCUCACAUUGUUGACGGUAGUAAAGUGUAAUUCGGAUUUUUGGAUUUUAUCUUCACUUUCUCUAGAAGCAAGCUGAUAUACAAGUU